GAUGAACGCUGGCUACAGGCUUAACACAUGCAAGUCGAGGGGAAACGACAUCGAAAGCUUGCUUUUGAUGGGCGUCGACCGGCGCACGGGUGAGUAACGCGUAUCCAACCUGCCCAUCACUUGGGAAUAACCUUGCGAAAGUAAGACUAAUACCCAAUGACAUCCCACGAAGACAUCUGAAUGGGAUUAAAGAUUUAUCGGUGAUGGAUGGGGAUGCGUCUGAUUAGCUUGUUGGCGGGGUAACGGCCCACCAAGGCAACGAUCAGUAGGGGUUCUGAGAGGAAGGUCCCCCACAUUGGAACUGAGACACGGUCCAAACUCCUACGGGAGGCAGCAGUGAGGAAUAUUGGUCAAUGGGCGAGAGCCUGAACCAGCCAAGUAGCGUGCAGGAUGACGGCCCUAUGGGUUGUAAACUGCUUUUAUAAGGGAAUAAAGUGGGUCUCGUGAGACUUUUUGCAUGUACCUUAUGAAUAAGGACCGGCUAAUUCCGUG
rnacentral:rRNA from 1 species